GCAGACACAUUCCAGCCAAUCAGCAGCAGACCCUCCCUCCCAGGCCCUCCCCCCGCCUGGACUGCUCACUAAGAAUGUAGUGGAUGCUGUCCAGGAGGUGGGAGGGUCUGGGAGGGAAUAAUGGAUGCUGUCCAGGAGGUGGGAGGGUCUGGGAGGGAGGGUCUGAUGCUGAUUGGCUGGAAUGUGUCUG